rnacentral:lncRNA from 1 species
CUUCUCUUUUAUUUUUUUAAUCUUUCUUCUUCAUGGAAACAAGGGAAGGGAAGGUCUUAAGCCAACCAUUUUCCAUGGUGAUGCCCUCGAUGACAACUCUGAUGGCUACGGACCCCAUGGCUUUGACCCUUGGCAACUGGAGCAUGAUUGAUGAUAGCGACUGGUCUAAUGGAAGCAAAAAAGAAAGAAACAAGAGAAAACCUUAUUCACGGAAUCUAAUGACCGUCUAACUAGCAAAAGCAUCAAAGAAAUUGGAAAGAAGGGGAAAGAGGUUCAGAGGCCAUACCUUGUCUUUGGCGAGGUGUUUGGUUCUCUUUUUCGGUGAAAACGAUGGUGGCUCAAUGGAAAUACUUGAGGGAAAGUCAAGUCCCAUGGAUUUCAUUAGCAAUUUGAUCGAGGAUGAGGGGCAAUGCCUAAAGGGAAGAUGUGGCAUUUUUUUAUAAGAAAAAUGCUAAGAUAUCGUCAAAAUCCAAUGAGCCAUAGAACUUCCUUUUCAC